rnacentral:misc_RNA from 1 species
GUGAAUCAUCGAAUUUUUGAACGCAAAUUGCACUCUCUUCGGAGGGUAUGCCUGUUUGAGGGUCAGCCUAAAAAAAAUCGACGUAGUCGCUGAUUCGCGGUGACAUUCGUCGGAAAUUGGGUCAGCUUAAACCUUUGGGUUGUUUAGGCGGCUUAAAUUGUUCUUUACGAUUCCACGAACGAUUCUAAGAUUUUACUUCUUACACACGUUUAUGGUAUCGAUCUUUAUGAGAGGUGGCAGUUGGAUCGGAUCGCGUCC